CUAGAGGACACUUUGCCAAGGGCCCUCAGAAAUGUGGAGCCAGGCCUGGUCACAAGGAACAUCAGCAGUAUUAGCAAACUAUCUCUAACAGAAGUAUGUCCACUUGUUUCUGGUCUUCUUGUGUGUUUUUGGUUUAACAUUUUAUAUCCCAUUCUUCCUCCAAGGAGCCCAGAGAGGUAUACUACAUACUUAGGUUUCUCCUCACAACAACCCUGUGAAGUAGGUUAGGCUGAAAGAGAAGUGACUGGCCUAGAGUCACCCAGCAAGUAUCAUUGCUGAAUAGGGAUUUGAACUCGGGUCUUCUUGGUCCUAGUCCAGCACUCUAACCACUACACCACGCUGGCUUAUUCCUGUUGCGUAACUGCAGAACAUAGUUUGAGAACAUGGAUACACCUAUGCAGUGUGCCCACCACCGUCCAAUAGAUCUCCAUAUCACAUUUGAAUUCAGUAUCUCUACACCACAAAAUUGCUCUGUACAGUUGAGAAUUGGCAGCUAAACCUUUGUUUGUUUUUUAAAUACUUGAUCCUUGGGUUGGGAUCAAGACUAGGGCAGAUAGGACCAUGGCCAAAUCUGGCAGAUUACAGAGUCAAGUCAAAACCUGGAAGAUGAUGGUGACGCUUACAAGAAUCGGAGGCAUCAUAAGCAGAGCCAGGCAGAAUCUGCAGUUUCCUGGCUUCUCAGACUCUGAUGCAGUGAACAGAAGUUGAGCUUGACACGUUGGAGCUUAAAGAACAGCAUCCAGAGGUAAAGGGGAACAAACACAGGUCAAUAGGAGUGCUGAAGCCUUCCAAAGCAGUUUCUUCCAAUGCAUCAUCAUCCCAGUCGUCGUCAUCAUCAUCAUCGUCUUCGUCUCCUGCAUCACCGCCGCCACCGGCAUGGUUCUCCUGCAUCUCCUGGCUUACUUCAUUUGCCUCCUCUUCAUCACUUGGAAUCUCUUCUGGCGAUUUCAACAGUGUAAUUACAAGAUGUGGAGGAUUCUACGCCUAUUUGUUUUGGAGUUGAAGAACAAAUCAGAGAGGAUAAAUUUGUUUCAGUGUGGGAACCAUUUAUGUAUUAUAAUUUGGUUCAUGGUUUAACGCUACAUCCAAGAUUUUUUUUUUUUAAACUAGGCUAUAAGUUCUAUAUCUGUUGAUGGUUGUAUCAAUGCAUAGAUAUGUUACUCAGCUACCAUUGGGUUAGAAUGAAUUGUUAGAUAUGAAAGGGAACUAGAAUCCAAGUUGAUGUAUUUGAUUAUUAUGAGAUGUCAUAUGUGUUUCUUCCCCACCCCCUUCUCUUUUCUAUGCUGGCAGUUUAAAAAAAAUAUUUCUUUAAAUAAAUAACUUUUUU